UACGUAGGGGGCAAGCGUCGUCCGGAUUUAUUGGGCGUAAAGAGCGUGUAGGCGGCCAGGUAGGUCAGCUGUGAAAACUCGAGGCUCAACCUCGAGACGUCGGUUGAAACCACCUGGCUAGAGUCCGGAAGAGGAGAGUGGAAUUCCUGGUGUAGCGGUGAAAUGCGCAGAUAUCAGGAAGAACACCCGUGGCGAAGGCGGCUCUCUGGGACGGUACUGACGCUGAGACGCGAAAGCGUGGGGAGCGAACAGG
rnacentral:rRNA from 1 species